AUAUACUGGGUCUAUACUGGGGCUGAGGCAUAUACUGAAUCCGAGGUAUAUACUGGGUCUAUACUGGGGCUGAGGUAUAUACUGGGUAUAUAUUGGGGCUGAGGUAUAUACUGGGUCUAUACUGGGGCUGAGGUAUAUACUGGGUCUGAGGUAUAUACUGGGUCUAUACUGGGUCUGAGGUAUAUACUGGGGCUGAGGUAUAUACUGGGUCUAUACUGGGUCUGAGGUAUAUACUGGG